rnacentral:rRNA from 1 species
UACGUAGGGUGCGAGCGUUAAUCGGAAUUACUGGGCGUAAAGCGUGCGCAGGCGGUUCGUUGUGUCGGCGGUGAAAGCCCCGGGCUCAACCUGGGAAUGGCCGUUGAAACUGGCGAACUGGAGUGUGGCAGAGGCGAGUGGAAUUCCUGGUGUAGCGGUGAAACGCGCAGAUAUCAGGAGGAACACCGAUGGCGAAGGCAGCUCGCUGGGACGGUACUGACGCUGAGGCGCGAAAGCGUGGGGAGCAAACAGG